AUCGCACAUCCGUUGCUGAUAUUAAUGAAGUAGCUGACUGUACCGAGGAGAAAAUUGAACCAGUUCGAGGUUUCGUAUUUAACAUACGUUUCGAAAAACCAAGGAAGAACCUGGUAUAUAAAGCUAAUUGCUGCUGCGUUUGGCAUCGCCGUC